GGGAACUUCUUAGAGUUUGAUCCUGGCUCAGUGCGGCUGGAUCACCUCCUUAGAGUUUGAUCCUGGCUCAGUGCGGCUGGAUCACCUCCUGAGAGUUUGAUCCGGGGGGGGGGCGGGAAAAAAAGAUGGGGGGGGAAACACCACCGUGCACCGAAUGUUGGUUGUUGGAAAGAUUUCUCGGUCAUGGAUGGACUCGCGGCCUAUCAGCUUGUUGGUGAGGUAAUGGCUCACCAAGGCGACGACGGGUAGCCGGCCUGAGAGGGUGACCGGCCACACUGGGACUGAGACACGGCCCAGACUCCUACGGGAGGCAGCAGUGGGGAAUAUUGCACAAUGGGCGAAAGCCUGAUGCAGCGACGCCGCGUGAGGGAUGACGGCCUUCGGGUUGUAAACCUCUUUCAGUAGGGAAGAAGCGAAAGUGACGGUACCUGCAGAAGAAGCACCGGCUAACUACGUGCCAGCAGCCGCGGUAAUACGUAGGGUGCGAGCGUUAUCCGGAAUUAUUGGGCGUAAAGAGCUCGUAGGCGGUUUGUCGCGUCUGUCGUGAAAGUCCGGGGCUUAACCCCGGAUCUGCGGUGGGUACGGGCAGACUAGAGUGCAGUAGGGGAGACUGGAAUUCCUGGUGUAGCGGUGGAAUGCGCAAAUAUCAGGAGGAACACCGAUGGCGAAGGCAGGUCUCUGGGCUGUAACUGACGCUGAGGAGCGAAAGCAUGGGGAGCGAACAGGAUUAGAUACCCUGGUAGUCCAUGCCGUAAACGUUGGGCACUAGGUGUGGGGACCAUUCCACGGUUUCCGCGCCGCAGCUAACGCAUUAAGUGCCCCGCCUGGGGAGUACGGCCGCAAGGCUAAAACUCAAAGGAAUUGACGGGGGCCCGCACAAGCGGCGGAGCAUGCGGAUUAAUUCGAUGCAACGCGAAGAACCUUACCAAGGCUUGACAUGUUCUCGAUCGCCGUAGAGAUACGGUUUCCCCUUUGGGGCGGGAUCACAGGUGGUGCAUGGUUGUCGUCAGCUCGUGUCGUGAGAUGUUGGGUUAAGUCCCGCAACGAGCGCAACCCUCGUUCCAUGUUGCCAGCACGUAAUGGUGGGGACUCAUGGGAGACUGCCGGGGUCAACUCGGAGGAAGGUGGGGACGACGUCAAAUCAUCAUGCCCCUUAUGUCUUGGGCUUCACGCAUGCUACAAUGGCCGGUACAAUGGGUUGCGAUACUGUGAGGUGGAGCUAAUCCCAAAAAGCCGGUCUCAGUUCGGAUUGGGGUCUGCAACUCGACCCCAUGAAGUCGGAGUCGCCCGUAAUCGCAGAUCAGCAACGGUGCGGGGAAGACCCCCCCCCCCCCUUUUCUAGAGGCCCCCCCCCGUCUUCCCCCCCCCCCCCCCCUUCUUGGCCCCGUGCGGCUGGAUCACCUCCUUAGAGUUUGAUCCUGGCUCAGUGCGGCUGGUCACUCCUAGAGUAGCUCGACUCGAAGAC
rnacentral:rRNA from 2 species